rnacentral:lncRNA from 1 species
GGACAAAAGACGGGAAGGUAAGGGAAUCUAAUCAGCCCUAACGUCAAAAAGGUCCACCACUUUAAGGAAGCAAGCCAUCAAAAUAUACAAAGACUUGACUCUCAAAGACUUACGCUCAUCUCACCGGAGAUUUGAUAUUUGAAAUCAAAAAGAGAAGCUAAUUGGACGGCUUAUCCAAAUGCCCCUUCUUAAAAUUUAGGAUUUGUCUACGGAGAGCACAUUCACACAACCCUUACAUU